GAUGAACGCUGGCGGUCUGCUUAACACAUGCAAGUCGAACGGAAUCCUUCGGGAUUUAGUGGCGGACGGGUGAGUAACACGUGAGAAUCUGCACUCAGGAUGGGGACAACAGCGGGAAACUGCUGCUAAUACCCAAUGUGCCGAAAGGUAAAAGAUUUAUCGCCUGAGAAUGAGCUCGCGGCCGAUUAGUUAGUUGGUGGGGUAAUGGCCUACCAAGACGGCGAUCGGUAGCUGGUCUGAGAGGAUGAGCAGCCACACUGGGACUGAGACACGGCCCAGACUCCUACGGGAGGCAGCAGUGGGGAAUUUUCCGCAAUGGGCGCAAGCCUGACGGAGCAAGACCGCGUGGGGGAGGACGGCCUUCGGGUUGUAAACCUCUUUUAGCAGGGAAGAAGCGCAAGUGACGGUACCUGCAGAAAAAGCACCGGCUAACUACGUGCCAGCCGCCGCGGUAACAC
rnacentral:rRNA from 1 species